rnacentral:rRNA from 1 species
GGGUCAGUAGGUUGGUCGUGCCACCGGUACGUACUGGUCUCACUGAUUCCUCCUUCCUGAAGAACCGUAAUGCCAUUAAUUUGGUGUUGCGGGGAAACAGGACUGUUACUUUGAAAAAAUUAGAGCGUUAAAAGCAAGCUAACGCUUGAAUACAUUAGCAUGGAAUAAUGAAAUAGGACGAUCGAUCCUAUUUUGUUGGUUUCUAGGAUUGACGUA